GAUGAACGCUGGCGGCGUGCCUAAUACAUGCAAGUCGAGCGAACAGACGAGGAGCUUGCUCCUUUGACGUUAGCGGCGGACGGGUGAGUAACACGUGGGUAACCUACCUAUAAGACUGGGAUAACUUCGGGAAACCGGAGCUAAUACCGGAUAAUAUUUCGAACCGCAUGGUUCGAUAGUGAAAGAUGGCUCUGCUAUCACUUAUAGAUGGACCUGCGCCGUAUUAGCUAGUUGGUAAGGUAACGGCUUACCAAGGCAACGAUACGUAGCCGACCUGAGAGGGUGAUCGGCCACACUGGAACUGAGACACGGUCCAGACUCCUACGGGAGGCAGCAGUAGGGAAUCUUCCGCAAAGGGCGAAAGCCUGACGGAGCAACGCCGCGUGAGUGAUGAAGGUCUUCGGAUCGUAAAACUCUGUUAUUAGGGAAGAACAAACGUGUAAGUAACUGUGCACGUCUUGACGGUACCUAAUCAGAAAGCCACGGCUAACUACGUG
rnacentral:rRNA from 1 species